AACACAUGCAAGUCGAACGCGAAAGGGACGUCGGUCCGUGAGUAAAGUAGGCGCACGGGUGAGUAACGCGUAGAUAACCUGUCUUCAUGUCUGGAAUAAUACGCCGAAAGGGGUACUAAUACCGGAUAUUCUUGCUUUUCAUAAGUUAUGCAAGCAAAGGUGGCCUCUGCAUAUGCUACUGCAUGAAGAGGGGUCUGCGUACCAUUAGCUAGUAGGUGGGGUAAUGGCCUACCUAGGCGACGAUGGUUAGCGGGUCUGAGAGGAUGAUCCGCCACACUGGCACUGGAACACGGGCCAGACUCCUACGGGAGGCAGCAGUGAGGAAUAUUGCGCAAUGGGGGAAACCCUGACGCAGCGACGCCGCGUGAAGUGAGGAAGGCCUUCGGGUCGUAAAGCUCUGUCAAGAGGAAAGAAGUGUACAAUGGCUAAUACCUGUUGUAUUUGACGGUACCUCUAAAGGAAGCACCGGCUAACUCCGUGCCAGCCGCAGC
rnacentral:rRNA from 1 species